rnacentral:rRNA from 1 species
CCUGGCUCAGGAUGAACGCUAGCUACAGGCUUAACACAUGCAAGUCGAGGGGCAGCAUGGUCUUAGCUUGCUAAGGCCGAUGGCGACCGGCGCACGGGUGAGUAACACGUAUCCAACCUGCCGUCUACUCUUGGACAGCCUUCUGAAAGGAAGAUUAAUACAAGAUGGCAUCAUGAGUCCGCAUGUUCACAUGAUUAAAGGUAUUCCGGUAGACGAUGGGGAUGCGUUCCAUUAGAUAGUAGGCGGGGUAACGGCCCACCUAGUCUUCGAUGGAUAGGGGUUCUGAGAGGAAGGUCCCCCACAUUGGAACUGAGACACGGUCCAAACUCCUACGGGAGGCAGCAGUGAGGAAUAUUGGUCAAUGGGCGAAAGCCUGAACCAGCCAAGUAGCGUGAAGGAUGACUGCCCUAUGGGUUGUAAACUUCUUUUAUAAAGGAAUAAAGUCGGGUAUGGAUACCCGUUUGCAUGUACUUUAUGAAUAAGGAUCGGCUAACUCCGUGCCAGCAGCCGCGGUAAUACGGAGGAUCCGAGCGUUAUCCGGAUUUAUUGGGUUUAAAGGGAGCGUAGAUGGAUGUUUAAGUCAGUUGUGAAAGUUUGCGGCUCAACCGUAAAAUUGCAGUUGAUACUGGAUAUCUUGAGUGCAGUUGAGGCAGGCGGAAUUCGUGGUGUAGCGGUGAAAUGCUUAGAUAUCACGAAGAACUCCGAUUGCGAAGGCAGCCUGCUAAGCUGCGACUGACAUUGAGGCUCGAAAGUGUGGGUAUCAAACAGGAUUAGAUACCCUGGUAGUCCACACGGUAAACGAUGAAUACUCGCUGUUUGCGAUAUACUGCAAGCGGCCAAGCGAAAGCGUUAAGUAUUCCACCUGGGGAGUACGCCGGCAACGGUGAAACUCAAAGGAAUUGACGGGGGCCCGCACAAGCGGAGGAACAUGUGGUUUAAUUCGAUGAUGCGCGAGGAACCUUACCCGGGCUUAAAUUGCAGAUGAAUUACGGUGAAAGCCGUAAGCCGCAAGGCAUCUGUGAAGGUGCUGCAUGGUUGUCGUCAGCUCGUGCCGUGAGGUGUCGGCUUAAGUGCCAUAACGAGCGCAACCCUUGUUGUCAGUUACUAACAGGUUCCGCUGAGGACUCUGACAAGACUGCCAUCGUAAGAUGUGAGGAAGGUGGGGAUGACGUCAAAUCAGCACGGCCCUUACGUCCGGGGCUACACACGUGUUACAAUGGGGGGUACAGAGGGCCGCUACCACGCGAGUGGAUGCCAAUCCCCAAAACCUCUCUCAGUUCGGACUGGAGUCUGCAACCCGACUCCACGAAGCUGGAUUCGCUAGUAAUCGCGCAUCAGCCACGGCGCGGUGAAUACGUUCCCGGGCCUUGUACACACCGCC